CGAUCCAAACCCAUGUCAAAGAAAGGAAAGGCGUAACCGUUGCAACAUAUGUCCCCGAGAUGCAUGUAACAAUUGUAGCAGUUGGUCGGAUAAGAACUGGAACAGAUAUUGUAAACCUUGUUGCAACCAUAGUGGAAGAUGCCAACAAAUCGGAAAAAGGGGGAAAAGAAGUGCAGGCAAUUAUUUUGCUCAACGUAAACUGCCGAUUCUUAGAGAACUCCAACUGAACCACGCCAUGUCCCUCGACCACGUUAUGUAAUAUUGCUUAUUGCUUUCUUAUUAUCCAUUGCGCUAUCUUUACAUUAUUUACUCCCAACUUUCAUUGUUGAUGAUAUCAACGAAAUUAUCAAUUACUAUAUGAUAAGGCAUCGCUUCUUUGAUUGAAAUUCUAAAAAAUACUGAUAUCCCCAGUUUUGCUCAUAUGUUAACCUCUAGGAUUCCUUAAAUCUUUGUUUACGUUUAGAAUUUAAAUUGUGCGUAUAAUGCAACUUUACUGGUACUCAAUACUGUUAACACGUAUCACUAGUCGUCACUCAUACAGUUGAAACAAAUGACAUAUACAUUACAAAUAUACAGUUGUAUGAUCUCCCAAGGUGUCGUGCAUGAACGAAGUCUGCAUUAUUUGUUCACGCGAAAUAAAUGGGCAAAUAUUAAGGAAGUUAUGACAUAACUAGUUCAUCAAAAAAGUACGUGGAAUAGGCUUGGUAGAUAUUGGCUAGUCCGGUGGAAUGUGAACCCAGUCGCACGGAUUUCAGGCUUGUGGUGCCAUUAAUUAUGCAAAACAGAGUAUAUCUACCCUAACACGUAUCUUAUUUACUUACACCGCAAAUUUGGCUUUCUUUAAUGAUUAAAAAUGUAAUGAUCAUGCAUAGCAUGGAAUAAUUUCUGAUUAGUCUACAUAAGACAAAAAACAAAAAUGCACAUUCUUAACUUUCAAAAAAAAAAAAAAAAAAAACUUAUCCUUAAUUGAGUUUCUGUUUUAAUAUUUGUAUUUUGCUUAAUAAUUCGUUAUCUUUAAUCCAUUAUGAUAUUUCCUUAAGCUUAUUGAAUAAAAUUCUGUGCAAAUGUUUGUUUGUUUGUUAUCCUUCCGUCUUCGGACCCGUAAUACUCAACAAAUGUCUGUAGUCCGUUAUAAGUAUGUCCGUACCCUGUUUCUGUUGUAGAUAUUUAAUAACUUAUGGCGAUUUAGGGACUUGUUAAG